GGACCCAUAGCUCAGCGGUAGAGCAUCUGAUUCCAGUUGAAAAGCCUUACAAUUCUGGAGUCUACUCCAGUAAAGUAGGGUAAAGCUGCCUCCAGAAGGUCAUCCGUUCAAAUCGGGUUGGGUUCA